rnacentral:rRNA from 1 species
AUUGAACGCUGGCGGCAGGCUUAACACAUGCAAGUCGAGCGAGCGGCGGACGGGUGAGUAAUGUCUGAGACACUGCCUGAUGGAGGGGGAUAACUACUGGAAACGGUAGCUAAUACCGCAUACCAUCAAAUGUUCCCAGAUGGGAUUAGCUAGUAGGUGGGGUAAUGGCUCACCUAGGCGACGAUCCCUAGCUGGUCUGAGAGGAUGACCAGCCACACUGGAACUGAGACACGGUCCAGACUCCUACGGGAGGCAGCAGUGGGGAAUAUUGCACAAUGGGCGCAAGCCUGAUGCAGCCAUGCCGCGUGUGUGAAGAAGGCCUUCGGGUUGUAAAGCACUUUCAGCGAGGAGGCGUUACUGGCAGAAGAAGCACCGGCUAACUCCGUGCCAGCAGCCGCGGUAAUUC